GUGGUGGCGGAGCCCCAUGCAUUGGAGGAGGUGGUGGUGGUGGGGGAGGAGCCCCGUACAUUGGUGGAGGUGGUGGUGGUGGUGGAGCACCACGCGAUAUAGGCGGUGGCGAUGGCGGAGGAGCCCCAGGCAUAGGUGGAGGUGGAGGUGGAGGUGGUGGGGGAGCCCCACGCAUGGGAGUUGAUGGAGGAGAAGCUUGAUGCAUUGGAGGUGGAGGUGGAGGUGGAGGUGGUGGAGGUGCCCCACACAUCGAAGGUGGUGGGGGUGGAGAGGGUAUCCCUCGCAUUAUAGGGGUCAAAGGAGAAGUUGCACCAAACAUCGAAGAUGGCAAAGGAGGAGGAGGUGGGGGUGGGGAUGGUGAUCCAUACAUAGAAGGUGGGGGGGAAGGAGGUGGGGGAUGUAAGGCUCCAUACAUGGAAGGUGGUGGGGGAGGAGGUGGUGGAGGUGAGGCUCCACACGUGGAAGGUGGUGGUGGUGGGGGAGGAGGCGGUGGAGGUGAAGCUCCAUACAUGGAAGGUGGAGGGGGAGGAGGUGGUGGAAGUGAGGCUCCAUACAUGGAAGGUGGGGUGGGAGGAGGUGGUGGAGGUGGAACUCCACGCAUGGAAGGUGGUGGGGGAGGAGGUGGAGGAGGUGAGGCUCUAUGCAUUGAAGAUGGCGCUUGAUGUAUUAAAGAUAGUGUUGGAGAUGCACCAUACAUGGGUGGGGGCGGAGGUG
rnacentral:lncRNA from 1 species